GUUUGCUGUUCCUCAAGGAGGUCCCUAUUCUACAAGCACUCCCUAUAUGGACAGGUCUAAAGGGAUCAUGCUGUGAAUGGGAAGGAAUCAAGAUCAUGCUUCAGGCAGAAGUUAAAUGGUAAGUGUUCUGAAAAGCAAGAAAUUGUAGCGGUAUCUGGUUCUGUCUCACUAACCUGAGUAGCGUUGGAGAAACUCCCAGGAAAGCUCAGGAAGGAUUGACUUGUUGUUUUAUUGCUCAGAAAAAGCAAAGACUCUGUGGUUUUGUUUUACUUUCUGGGAGAAAUAAUCACUCUUUAGUUCUCAUGGUUUGAGGGAAAAUAUUUUUUCUUAAUAACCUGUAUUUUGAAAAAUAA